CCAGCCCUGGGCAGGGCCCAGCUGCCCUGCUGCCAGCCCCUCAGCUGGUGCAGAGCCUGGCCCCACAUGCCCAGCGUACUUGCCGAGUGGACGGAGGAAGGACCUCGUGGCCCUGGUCUCUGGGGACCAGGAAAGCAGAUGGCUUCCACGUGAGGAGGCUGAUGCCAGCGCCUGCUCCCAAAGGAAGCCAUCGGCCAGAUGCCAUGCCAGUGGGGAGCCCGGGAGCUGUGGCAGCCGAUGCAGGAACCAGGGAGGGACUGUGCCCGGCUGCAGGUCAUACUCUUCGUGGCCUCCCCAGCGGCUGGUGCUGUAAAGUGGACACCCACUGGACAUGAAAAGAAAACAAUGAAACAUUCUGGCCACAAGGGCGAAGUGCAGUUCAUUUGGAUUGUUUCCUGUGCCCAAGAUGAGUAUAUGAACCGUGAAGAAAAUGAGAGUAGAAACCGUCCCAAGUCAGAUAGCAGAAACUACAGUGGCUGCUGAUGUUGAGAUUAUUGUUAAACUGUAAUUAACAAUUUGGGUGGCAGUAUUCAUCUCUGUGUUGUAAACUCUGACAUCUGAAUUGUUUAAGUAUAAUUUAUAAAACUUCAGUGCAGUCAAUUCUUCAUGGAGAACCUGAAACCUAAAUUGCAGACUUAAAAGGUACUGCAUAGCCAUUGUGUCUGUGAAUAACUUCACUUAGCACCUUCUUGUCACCCAGAACAGUGUGAAACACAACCUGAGUGAGCCCUUUGGCAAGGACGAGUUCUAGUGUUUGCUUGGUACUGAACUGAAUCUUCAGCUCUGCCCUAGACAUUUGCACUACAGUAGCCCAGUGCAUUCUGUGGCCUUGUGCUACUGUGCUCUGUUCCGCUGGGGCUGGCGAAUGUCUUUAGUUUCCUUACCAGCUGCUACUGAAGGCUGUUUUCUAUCCCUGUGGCUACUGCCAAGCUACAAAAGAGAAAAACUGUAUUUGUAUGCAACACUAAUUCUUUAACUGCGAAUGUAUGUUUCUGCUUGCUAUGCCUUGUCAUGGCUGCUUUUUUUGUGCUAAUAAAGUAUAUUUGGUGUUAAAAAUAAUGGCUGGGGAUGUGGCUCAGUGCGAAGGCCCUGGGUUGAAUCUCCCAGUGCCACACACACACACCUUGCACGCACAUUCCAGAGCUAGGGUAAAAGAACCCUGAGUCCCGAGAUUGCCCUGUAGCUGCUCUAUGUCCUGGUGUGGAAAGAUCUCC
rnacentral:lncRNA from 1 species